AACGCACAUUGCGCCCGCCAGUAUUCUGGCGGGCAUGCCUGUUCGAGCGUCAUUUCAACCAUCAAGCCCCAGGCUUGUGUUGGGGGCCUGCAGCUGCUGCAGCCCCCUAAAAGCAGUGGCGGACUCGCUGUCAUACCGAGCGCAGUAGUUACAUCUCGCUCUGGUCGUGGCGGCGGGCACCUGCCGUAAAACACUCUUUCUAAGGUUGACCUCGGAUCAGGUAGGAAUACCCGCUGAACUUAA
rnacentral:misc_RNA from 1 species